rnacentral:SRP_RNA from 1 species
GCCGGGCAUGGUGGUGCACACCUGUAAUCCCAGCUACUUGGGAGGCUGAGGCAGAGAAUUGCUUGAACCCAGGAGGUGGAGGUUGCAGUAAGCUGAGAUCAUGCCACUGCGCUCCAGCCUGGGCGACAGAAUGAGAUUCCAUCUCANNNNNNNNNNUGAGAUGGAAUCUCAUUCUGUCGCCCAGGCUGGAGCGCAGUGGCAUGAUCUCAGCUUACUGCAACCUCCACCUCCUGGGUUCAAGCAAUUCUCUGCCUCAG